AGCUUGUUGGUGAGGUAAAGGCUCACCAAGGCAAUGAUCAAUAGCUGGUUUGAGAGGAUGAUCAGCCACACUGGCACUGAGACACGGCCCAGACUCCUACGGGAGGCAGCAGUGGGGAAUAUUGGACAAUGGGCGAAAGCCUGAUCCAGCAAUGCCGCGUGAGUGAAGAAGGCCUUAGGGUUGUAAAACUCUUUUAUAUGUGAAGAUAAUGACGGUAACAUAUGAAUAAGCACCGGCUAACUUCGUGCCAGCAGCCGCGGUAAUACGAAGGGUGCUAGCGUUGUUCGGAAUGACUGGGCGUAAAGGGCGUGUAGGCGGUCUCAUGCGUCAGAUGUGAAAGUCCUGGGCUUAACCUGGGGAUUGCAUUUGAUACGGUGGGACUAGAGGUCGUGAGAGGAAAAUGGAAUUGCUCGUGUAGAAGUGAAAUUCGUAGAUAUGAGCAGGAACACCAGUGGCGAAGGCGAUUUUCUGGCGCUGACCUGACGCUAAGGCGCGAAAGCGUGGGGAGCAAACAGGAUUAGAUACCCUGGUAGUCCACGCUGUAAACGAUGGAUGCUAAAUGUCGGGAGUUACGCUCUCGGUGUUGAAGCUAACGCGAUAAGCAUCCCGCCUGGGGAGUACGGUCGCAAGAUUAAAACUCAAAGAAAUUGACGGGGACCCGCACAAGCGGUGGAGUAUGUGGUUUAAUUCGAAGCUACGCGCAGAACCUUACCAGCCUUUGACAUGGAUAGUAUGAGUCUGAGAGAUCAGAUUCUUCAGCUCGGCUGGCUAUCGCACAGGUGCUGCAUGGCUGUCGUCAGCUCGUGUCGUGAGAUGUUGGGUUAAGUCCCGCAACGAGCGCAACCCUUGAUGCUAGUUACUAACAGGUUUGGCUGAGUACUUUAGCAUGACUGCCGGUGACAAGCCGGAGGAAGGUGGGGAUGACGUCAAGUCCUCAUGGCCCUUAUAGGCUGGGCUACACACGUACUACAAUGGUCCUGACAAAGAGAAGCAAUAUCGCAAGGUGGAGCAAAUCUAUAAAAGGGACCUCAGUUCAGAUUGUCCUCUGCAACUCGAGGGCAUGAAGUCGGAAUCGCUAGUAAUCGUAGAUCAGCAUGCUACGGUGAAUACGUUCUCGGGUCUUGUACACACUGCCCGUCACACCAUGGGAGUUGGAUUUACCUUAAGCCGGUGAGCUAACCUGAGCAAUCAGGAGGCAGCCGACCACGGUAGGUUCAGUGACUGGGGUGAAGUCGUAACAAGGUAGCCGUAGGGGAACCUGCGGCUG
rnacentral:rRNA from 1 species